rnacentral:lncRNA from 1 species
UUCGAAUCCUGAGAUCUCUCUUUUUGCCAUUCCCAACUGCCCGUUUUAACUCCUGAGAUUUUGCAUCAUUCAUCUGGGUUUCGAAGACGCGAUCCAACAAAACUGGUCUGACUUGAAAGCUGGCAAGUAGGGCUCCAUGUUGAUCCAUUUCUAAAGCCACUCCCAUAGAUCUUAGUUCAGUGAGGAGAGGAAUACGACAUGCAUAAAGAGCAUUAAGUCAGCUGUGAGAUUUCCUGCUAAGGGCAUCAACUACAGUAUUCGCAUGACCGGG